AUUGAACGCUGGCGGAAUGCUUUACACAUGCAAGUCGAACGGCAGCACGGGGCAACCUGGUGGCGAGUGGCGAACGGGUGAGUAAUACAUCGGAACGUGCCCAAUCGUGGGGGAUAACGUAGCGAAAGUUACGCUAAUACCGCAUACGAUCUACGGAUGAAAGCGGGGGAUCGCAAGACCUCGCGCGAGUGGAGCGGCCGAUGUCAGAUUAGGUAAGUUGGUGGGGUAAAGGCUCACCAAGCCAACGAUCUGUAGCUGGUCUGAGAGGACGACCAGCCACACUGGAACUGAGACACGGUCCAGACUCCUACGGGAGGCAGCAGUGGGGAAUUUUGGACAAUGGGCGCAAGCCUGAUCCAGCCAUUCCGCGUGCAGGAUGAAGGCCUUCGGUUGUAAACUGCUUUUGUACGGAACGAAACGGCGAGCUCUAAUACAGUUUGCUAAUGACGGUACCGUAAGAAUAAGCACCGGCUAACUACGUGCCAGCAGCCGCGGU
rnacentral:rRNA from 1 species